rnacentral:ncRNA from 20 species
CUUAUUCAGAGUGAUGGAGAUACAUAGGAUCUGAGAAGUCACGGCAACCCCUUAACAGGAAGGUGCCAGCCUGAGCGAAAUUAGAAGUUACAUAUAUUAUGUGAUAUAUGGCAAUUUCGAGCAAUAAG